CACGGCGCCCACAGCGGCGGGGCGGGGCUGGGCCGCAGGGAAGAGUCGCGCAGGGGGCGCUCCGCGGGCCGGGCCCCUGGUCACGUGGUUCACUCCUCCCCACCCCGGCGUCCCACCCAUCCCGAAUCAGUUCGUGAUUGUCUACCUGAAGGGGCCCCUGGACCCGCCUCCACCUCUAGGCCUUGAGGGUGAGGAAGAGGCUAGGCCCAUCACUGAUGGGGGGAUGGGGGGGAGGGCGCUCCUGGCAACAUCCCCUCCCCAGAUCCCCUUCCCCCACUUCACCUCUUGCUUCGGGUUCCAGCUUUUCUCCCACCUGGCCCUUAACUGGCAGGGCUCCCCCAGACAGUCUCGCUGGCCAUUCUAGUCACCACCAAAGGCUGCAAACUGCAGCCUCCUCUGGCCGGGUUCUCUUCCCCGCCCCCCACGUGUAUUUGUGGUUAAGGCACCAAAGGGUUCUGUAAAUUUUGAACACCUGGAGGCCUUGGUUUUCUCACCUGAAAAUUGAGACUCAAAAGUAGAUGAGGUCACACUAUGUGAAAUAAAGGGACACCCAAGAAGCACUCAGGGAGGAUUGGGUUUUAUUACUAUCUCAGGAAUCCCUCUCUAACACUUGAAUAAGCCAAUAAGAAGCAAAAAGAAGACCUUGAAAAUCAAAGGAGCCACAGCUAAAAUACAUAAAAAUUUAAAAUGCCAGGCCUAUGUGGUUUUACAGCAAGAGGUGAGCAGUCCAAGCCUGGCAGGCAGUUAUGCCCUACCGUCUGGCUUCUGUUUCUGGGUCCCAGGGAACUGCUUCAGUGGCCACAAUGUCCAGCCAAUGAGAAGGAAAAAUAUACAGCGCACUCUUACAAACAAAGAACCAUGAGGACAAGCCAUGUUAACCUGAAAUACUGACGCCAGCCCAGUUUGGGAUUCCCAUGGAAGUUGUUCAAAGGAAUCAGAAAAAAAAUGUAGGUAGUGAAAAUGAAUACUGACUUAGUAUUAAUUCCUGAGUUUGUCCCUUCAGUUUCAAGAAACUGUAUAGUAUCGUAGAAAAUGGGUUUUCCUGGCUGUGUCCCAAACAAGAUGGCAGGCAGUAGGGAUACGAGCAUGGGCAGGAAGGGGACUUGAAGGAGGAGCCGUGGGGACAAGUGGUCAGCUUUCUGUUUCUGCAUCUGAGGCCCAGGUAGCUUGAAUACAGGAAGUAAGAGAGAGCAUAUGGUAAAUGCCACAUGCACUCACGAGCUAGGCUCUAAAACAACACUCUUUUUCAGUUCAGGAGGGUGGCCCUAUUUUGUGCCGGGGCACUAGGGUAUUGUGACAGCUGGAAGUCAUGUGACAGUCUCCCAAAAGGCAUCCUUGGAAAGGAGACAAAGGUUUCAUUCAGAUGAAAACGACAACAAAAAUACAUCUUUAUGCGGAAAAGUUAACUCACGUUACUUGUCACAUCUCCCCCAAAACACCCACUGAACCAUGUAACUCCAAAAAGGGUGCAGGACUAGAAAGGUUGGGAAAGGCAGUGUCAUGCAGUCUUUUGACCCUCCCCCCGCUGCCUAAGUAUGGGCCUUGAGCCUGGAAGGCUUCCCUACUGAGGAAAGAGUCCUCACAGCCCGUGCUGGCCUCAUCACCUUUGUGUGGGAAUGUCUUUCCCUGUUUCAGACUCAACGUGUACUCCUUUGCUCUGCACAAGCGUGUGCAUCAGAUGACACCUGGCCAGCCCCAUAUUAUAUGCGUCCGCUGCAGCGAGAUGGGGUCCUUCUGUAGCACAAGAGGCGUGCGUGCAGGUCACUUGCCCUGUGUUGGCUACAGAGAGAACACCUGUGGGCCAUGGGGGACUGACGCACAGUACUGGAGCUGAUUUUACUCUACUUCUUCUCUAUGUGAAUAGGGCAUUAUUCCAUCCAAUGCUUGGCUGUGUUGUGGUGUCCUCGGCGACUGGAAUCCCCAGACGCAGUGGGCAGAACUGUUAGCUCUUCUGCUUUUGGCGAUAGGUAAUAGAUGUCACUUGCUUAACAGAGAAUCAGGUGCCACUCAGCUGCGGCGCGCGUCAGCUGUGUGGAUCUGUCCUCAGUUUUCUAACCGGCAAAAUAACGGUGUUCACGGAGUUCUCUUCCAGCUACAUUCUGGUUCCUGUGAGAGUGAAAGAAUAUGAUGCCCAAAGCCAAAGUCAGUAAGGAGGACUUUUGUAGGUGCAGGAGCCGGGGGAAUGCUAACAGUAUAUGGUUCUCACAGUUUACAUGUUAGAACCAUUCACUGAAGAAAGACUUUCCUUUAGAUCAGAGAUUCUCAACCUUGGCCAGAUGAUUGCUGUGGACAGCUGUCCUAUUUAGGGUAGGAUAUUUAGCCGCAUCCCUGGCCUCUUCCCACUAGAUGGUAGCAGCAUCUCACUCUCAGUUGUGACCACCAAAAAUGUUUCCAGAUACGGCCAAAUGUCUCCUGAAGAGCAAAAGUGGCCUCCCUGGAUGGAGAACCACUUAUCCAGAUGGUUUCCUCUAGUCAAGGUUAAGUAAUACAGGGGCACCUGGGUGGCUCAGUUGGUUACGUGUCUGAGUUUGACUCAGGUCAUGAUCUCUAAGUCUGUGAGUUCGAGCCCCGCAUCGGGCUCUGUGCUGACAGCUCAGAGCCUGGAG